rnacentral:rRNA from 1 species
UACGGCCUACGGGGGCAGCAGUGGGGAAUAUUGGGCAAUGGGCGCAAGCCUGACCAGCAACGCCGCGUGAAGGAAGAAGGCUUUCGGGUUGUAAACUUCUUUUCUGGGGGACGAACAAAUGACGGUACCCCAGGAAUAAGCCACGGCUAACUACGUGCCAGCAGCCGCGGUAAUACGUAGGUGGCAAGCGUUAUCCGGAUUUAUUGGGUGUAAAGGGCGUGUAGGCGGGAAUGCAAGUCAGAUGUUAAAACUCA